AGUGAACGCUGGCGGUAGGCCUAACACAUGCAAGUCGAACGGCAGCACAGUAAGAGCUUGCUCUUACGGGUGGCGAGUGGCGGACGGGUGAGGAAUACAUCGGAAUCUACUUUUUCGUGGGGGAUAACGUAGGGAAACUUACGCUAAUACCGCAUACGACCUACGGGUGAAAGCAGGGGAUCUUCGGACCCUGCGCGAUUGAAUGAGCCGAUGUCGGAUUAGCUAGUUGGCGGGGUAAAGGCCCACCAAGGCGACGAUCCGUAGCUGGUCUGAGAGGAUGAUCAGCCACACUGGAACUGAGACACGGUCCAGACUCCUACGGGAGGCAGCAGUGGGGAAUAUUGGACAAUGGGCGCAAGCCUGAUCCAGCCAUACCGCGUGGGUGAAGAAGGCCUUCGGGUUGUAAAGCCCUUUUGUUGGGAAAGAAAAGCAGCAGGUUAAUCCCCCGCUGUUCUGACGGUACCCAAAGAGUAAGCACCGGCUAACUUCGUG
rnacentral:rRNA from 1 species